rnacentral:lncRNA from 1 species
GAAUGAAUUUGGGAGAUUGAAUAAAUCAUAUACUUGGUGAAUGCAAAGUGAUUUUAGUUAGUGAAACAAAGUAAGCCUAACUAGGAAUCUUUCUAGAUUUGCUACAAACUUGGAAGAAAGCCAUGACACUAUGGACAUGUUAUGACAAAUAAAUCAUUAAUAAAAUAACGAUAAAUCCAGCAUAUAGUUCUCAUAUACCUAAAGGGAACACAAAGUAGUACAAUGUACUAAUAUAUUAGGAUAGACUCCCAAGUAGAUAUUAUCAUAGUAGCACAGCAGAAGUGUAGU